rnacentral:tRNA from 1 species
UGACCUGUGGUGUAAUGGUAACACAGCAGAUUUUGAUUCUGCUUUUCCAGGUUCGAGUCCUGGCAGGUCAACAA